ACUAAUUGAGAAAAUGCCUUACAGCUGGGCUCACGUAGGCAUUUCCUAAGCUGAGUCUGAUGACUGGAGCUUGUACCAAGUUGGCACAGAAACAGCCAGUAUAACCCCAGAGCUUUCCUUUGAGGAGAGGAGUGGAGUUACUAGCUAAAGAUCUCAAGUGCUUGGCCGGCUACGUUGAUGUGAGAAGAUGGAUUUUCAAACUAGAUAUCUCCGCUGCUUGCUGGCUGGUGCCAGAAAGGCAGACUGCACGUUCUGUGGCCUUCACAAUAGCAGGGCUGGAGUCUCCAUCGCUGGUACCCCAGGCAAGCGGAACUGAUAAUGGGGAGGGAAGUAGUGCCUGGUAAUAGGUUCAUGUCGCACCAUGACUCCAGAAUAUGGGAGUAUAGUGGGACAGCUAACAGUGACGUGGUGCAGCGCAUGGAUUAAGAGGGUCUACAUUGUUUUCUUUGAUACAGGAAAGUUGGUGACUAAACUCUGCUUGUGCUAAAUGCCCAGCAAUGACCCAGUUGAGAUCCAGAAGCCAGGAAGAAGGAAGGGGGCCUACUUAUUGGCCAAGAUGGCUGAUCAGGAUGAGUGCAGAUAUGAUUUUAGGCCGUGGGCCUGAGGUAUGCCCUCUGACCUCACCAGUGUCCUACAGAACUCCCCAUAUGGCUUUGGGCAGCUCUGAACUUAACCCUGGUAGCCAGCCUAUGUCUUAAGUUAUGGACUGGAUUUGGGUUGGCCUGGGUUUGACUGGUCUAUGGUAGUGGCACUGGAGAUGAUGGGGAACCUCUAAAACUCAACAUCUCUACCUGACUGUACAUGGUCUUAAAAGAUAUAAUUAUGAGUUGGCGGGGAGGGGUUGGGAUUUAGCUCAGUGGUAGAGUGCUUGCCUGGCAAGCGCAAGGCCCUGGGUUCAGUCCCCAGCUCCGAAAAAAAAAAAGAAAAAGAAAAAAAAUGAGUUGGGGGGAGGGUGAUAGUGGUCCCUAUAGUUCAAGGCCAGCCUGGUCUACAAAGCAAGUUCCAGGAUGGCCAGAACUGUUAAAACAAAUAAACCCUGUCUUGAAAAACUAAGAAGGAGAAAGAGUGAUCUAGGAGGGGAACUGGCUGUAGUAGAUGCUGUGACACAAAUAAACUUAUCAAUUCUUACGGCUGGAA